AUUAAUUAAAUAAGAGAAGUUCUCAAAUAUUAACUUCACAUAAAUAACAUAAAUUCUGAAAUAUUUACUUAGUACAAAUUGACAUAAACAUAUCAAUUUUAAUUAGACCAAAUAUGUUGAGAAAUUAUCAAAUCACAACUACACAUGGUAAACAAGAGAAAUUCUCAAAUAUUUACUUUGUUCAAGUUAAGAAAAUACCAUAUCUAAUGCAAUUAAUUCACAACUACUGAAAAAUAAUUCACUUUUAAAUUGACUAAAGAACUUUUAUAAAUAUAAGUCCAGACCUAGGUCACACAAAGCAAAAGCAGGAGCGGGAGUGCAUGAUCGUCAAUUGUUAAAAUAAUACGAGAGCGAGAGCGUCUUCAAACCGCCAAAAUAAAUAAUAAAUUAAAUUUAUAUAUGUAUAUUUAUUAAUAAAUAAGUUAUAAAAAUUGAAUAUUAUUAGUCAUUUUAAUAUAUAUAUAUAUAUAUAAUAUAGGCCAAAAAAAUAAAGAGAUUAUUUGAUACAAUAAUUAUGUACAUAUAUAUACAUGUAUAUUAUAUAAGAAUAAGAUAAUACAGUAAUUAUUUGAAAAUGAAUAAAAGUCUUGUAUAAUGUAAUAAAUGUUACUUUUUUGUAGAUUGGAGUUCCUUACACAAAUCUUAGGGCUUAGGUUCAAUCCUCGUGUGGCGAGGUAAAUGAUUUUUCCUUUGCAAUUUGGCUUCUUUUGUGUAAAUUAUAAAUUCAUCCCUAUAUUAUUGGGAAUCACGAAUUGUUCUUAGAAAAUUCGCGAAGUUAGUUCAUGGAGUGGUGGGGGAGGCACGAAUUGUGUGACUAAAGUCCAUACUAACAUUACCACUACAUAACAUAAAAAAAAUAAUAUCAACAAAUAUUUACUUAGUACAAAUUGAUAUAAAUAUAUUAAUUUUAAUUGGACCAAAUAUGUUAAGAAAAUAUCAAAUCACAACUACACAUUGUAAAUAAAAGAAGUACUCAAAUAUUUACUUUGUGCAAGUUAAGAAAAUACCAUAUUUAAUGCAAUUAAUUUACAACUAUUGAAAAAUAAUUCACUUUUAAAUUAACUUGAAUAUAAGUCCAGACUCUGAAUUUAUGUAUAUACAAUUUACUAUAUUUUUGGUGAACCAAAAAUGUCAUUUAUUCUUCAAAAAAGGCCACUAAAAUCCAAAUGAAACUUUUAGAGGAUUAUUUGUUACUAAUUUAGAUUUUCUUCAAAUUUUGUUUUUACUUGGUGCAAAGGAAUUGCUUUUUAUAAUUAGGCAGAAAUCUUUCCAAAUGCACCUCUCAUCAUGAUCUCUCAUUUGACAUAACUUUCUUGAGAAACUAGAAUUUCCGCUCCGCUCUCCGCACCGUCUCCCUACCACUACAAAUACCUCAACUAGCCUUUGCAAAACCCAGAAAUCUCUCUCUCUCUCUUGUUUCAAACACACCACAUCGAUAGCGGAACACAAAUUCCAACCAACAACAGGGUCAUCCAAACAAAGAACUCGAUCGGUACCACCAAUGGUCAAUUCAGGUGUACACAUACCUAUAUGUAUUUCUAUGUCUAUGUAUCAUUAAGAACAAUAAUCUCAGUAGUAUUUUAUAGUUCCAAUUGUUGUAAGAUCUAGGGCUUCUUUUGGUUCUGAUUUCGAUUUUUGAUUCGUGUAGAUUAGAGAUCAUGAUAUCGCUCACUCCAGAUCAAUUUAGCAAAAUAGGGUUGGGGGUGUUCCCGUCUCCGUCACCGUUUUAUACUCCUAGACCCAAACGACGUUGUGCUGACUCGUCGAUGUGAACUCGAAUCGGCAGGACAAAGAUCGAGAGGUCAACGUUCAUGUUAUGCUCGAUGUAGUUAAGUAUCGUGUUUUUGUUAAUUGUAUUUGUGUAUCAAAUGAAUCUCAAAUUGUUUUUUAGGUAGAUGAGAAUUUAUUGAAACAACAUAAUAUUGAUAAGAGAGCAUCUGAGCAUCUGACGGAUAAUUUGAUUGAGUGGAUGAUCUAAUCUUGAAUUGUGUUGGCUGUGAUGGGUGUUUCGAUUUAAUUGCUUAGGGCAGUUCUAGUAUAUAUAGGUGUGUCUGAGUUACCUAUGUUCAUCGGUAUCAGUUCGUAUAUUUGUUUGCAUUUGUGUACCAUCCAAAUUCAGAUGCUUAUAGUUUAUUUUAAUGGUUUUAUAUUCUCGUUAAGUACCUUGAUUUAAUAUCUGCCUAGCUCCUCAUCUUUUGUUAUAUUUGGCUGAAACUUUUCUUGUUUUUUUGAACUUCUUGGCAAUUGCAAUGCAAACAUCAACCUUAUUUUCAUGACUUGUACUUGAAGUUUCUAGACAAAGUUAACUUGAAGCCUUUGAAAAAUUGAUUAUGCAUGUCUCUUGUGAGAACUGCGAGGUUUAUCUCGUAUGAGUAUUCAUUCAAGGCUUUUGAUUAUAUUAAUAAGUAGAAAAUAUAUUUAGCCUUUACUUGUUUUUCAGGUUCUUUAGGAUCAAACCUUAAUAAAUCAAAUUUGUAAGAGCAUUCCAUGCUAAAGAAUCUAGGAAAUUGGCUUGAGAAGAUAACAAUUGGUAGAAAUUAGGUUUUGAGGUCUCAUAAGAUUGAUCCUAAAUCUUUGAUCAUAAAGGUAAUUAUUUUACUCUUGCACUGUUUUCUUGGAGUUUAUUCUUUCUAGCGCAGAUUUUCUUUGUUGAGUUUUAUAUUCCUUUUUACACCUGGUCACUAGUUUACUAUUUGUGUAUUUUUUUUUUCCAAGCACAUGAGAAGGGUUUGUUGAUUUCAAUAAUUCCAUUCAACUCCAAGUUAUGGUUAUUAUUGAAAUUAUGCUAUAGUCAUUGGUAUUAUGACAUACUAACAUUUAUAUUCUCUUCCUCCUAAUUUCGGAAUCAUGCCAAAGCAAUUAGCUUAUCGUUGGACCAUGGUUUUUGUUGGAUUACUUGCUCAGAUUUAUGCAGUUCCAAAUUUAAAAAUGAACCUCAAGCUUGACAUCAAGGUAGUAUGCUUAUAUUGUUUUUGUACAAAAUUCAUGUCUUAAUUUUAGGACUUUGUAUACUUAUAUUUAUUAGAUUCUUUUGGCACUUCAGAUCCUAUUCAAGAAGAACCUCGGUGUUGUUAUGAAGGACAUAACUCCAACUUAUGUUCUCAAGGACAAGGUAAGUCAAGUUGAAGGAAAUCCUACUCUACCAACAAAGGUGUUGGGAUGGCUCAACAAUAGGUGGUUGGUAAUGUCAAAUCUGGUGCACUAUUUACCCUAAAUCAAGUCGAGCUACCGCUUGACGCUGCCAACCCAUCUCAUCCUUAUGGCCAUUUCCCGUAUAUUUUUUAAGGUAUGGAUGAUUUCUACAUUUCCUAAUUGGAUAAUACUUGCUAUUAUAUCUGCCGAGAAAUUUGAUGUACACGUUUUUUGGGCAUCUUUCGUUUGAUACGUUGAUGGAAGUUAAAAAUUUGGCAGCUUUGAGCAACUCUCUUCUGAACUUUAAUUACCAUUUGCAAGCAAAAAGUUACUUUUUCUUCUUUUUAUCUCAUAUUGAUUAUUUUCUAAGUUGGUCGUCGUUUUGUAGCUUCCAACACCAUCAUCUAGUAUUGAACAAAAAAUUAUUAUCAACCCAAAGCUUCACACGUUAGGCUUGUACCAUUAUUAUCAAAAGUUUGACUCUUAUUUGAUUUCUCUUUUCCAAUCUUCUUAGUAGCUAAUAAUAUAUUUUGUGACAAAUUUUAUUUCUUUGUUACAUUGGUUCCAAUUGCUAUGGAUAGAGCUCUAAAGAGGGUAGUGUCUUGUAUCGUGUUGAUGAUUAUUAUAGAACAAUGAAUAAGAUUGUUCAUUACAACAUUCAGCCCAAGGGAUCGGAGAAAUUGUUGGGGAAGAAAAAAUUGUGGUUUUACAUGUAGCGAUGAGGGAUAGGAUUUUUGAUACCUCACAAAUGAUUUGGGAGGUUGUGCAAGACUUCCGGACUGUUACAAGCAAGACAAGCUUGAUGGAUUUUCCGUGUAUGAUAUCUCAUUUUUGUGUGGAAGAUAAGGUGAAAUGGUUUGCAAGUGCAAAGUGGGAAAAGCCCGAAGUUGGACCAAUUAAGGAAGCAAUCCGAGAGAAAUCGAGAGCCUUUCCAAGUCCGAUGUCCCACUUCUUGUGAAUUUCCUAAGAUUAAUGGUACGUUUCAAAAGAAAGUGAAGGGGUGGAUAAAGGUCUUGUUUUGCCGCCAAAAUAAUAUAAUGGAUGCUUAAAAGGAGGGAAAAAAGAAGGGAGAGGAGUUAAGAAAAAGGCAAGAGGGGAUUGAGCGUAGAAUGAACUAUUGCGUUCAAAUUAUCGGGAAGAGCUCGGGAAUGGGGUACAAAUAUCAAGUGGAGGAAGUGGCUAGGGAACAAGUUCAAGAAAUUAGAAGGGAAGGAAUGAGAUAGUAGAAGGGAUAGAUGUAGUAGAGGAAGAUGGUGAUGAGGGAGAUGAUAAAGAAGGAAGUGAUGAAGAGGAGGAAAAAGGAAGUGAUGCUGAGAAUGAGGAGAGUGAAGAUAUCGAAGAGAGUGACAAUGAAGAGGAUGAAUGAGGCAAUCAUGCCUCGAAGUUCAAAGUUGUGGUCUUGAUUCAUGUGGUGGAUACAGUUUUGAUGGGAGUUCAUGGCUAGUUGUUGAGUCUUUAGUCUUGUGGAGUCUGUGUUGUGUUUUUUCGUUUUUUAGUUUUGUAAUAGAGUCGUGUACUGUCGGGCUUGAGUGACAAUGGUGGUAAUUAUCCUUGCCUUCAUUGGCCAAUGUCACUCAACUUUUGGGUGUUGCCCUUUUCAUUUCAUGUCAACCAUGGUUAUAUGCAAACUAAAAAGCUCUUGCUAUAACCUUUGACAAUCUAUUAAUGCUAAUUGAUUAUAAAAAUCCUUAACUUUUUAAACCAUUAAUAAAUUAUAACGAUAAGGAUCAAAUCUCUUUAUGCAAAUCAGAGUACUAUUUUUCUCAAAUAUACGAUAGUCUCCAAAAAUUAAUAUUACAAUGUCUCCUAACAAAAUUAAUACAAAAUGAUCAAUAAUCUAAAGUCUUCAAAUCUUCCAUCGAACCAAUCUCGCACUACCCAAAUCCCACAUCAACUUGAAAAACAAUUUAAGCUGAGAAGUAUACAAUAUGACAAGAAUAAUGCUCAAAAUAGUAACCAUACAUUAACAAGUUUUCAAAUGCACUUUCCCUUCAAUGUAUCUGUUGGUUUUCUUAAAUGUGGCGAUCAUCUUGGCAUUUUGACAUGAAAUCACAGACUCAUUUCGCGAUCUUCGCGCUACCCAAUAAGAAAUUCCUUUGAUUUGAUUGUUUUCGCUUCCUUCUUAAAGCUUCGUUUCCUGGUCUACACCCACUGCCCCCUGAAAUGGGGGAUUGGCUGAUCACUCAUCUAUGCCAAGCUCUAUCAUGCCCUAUGUUUUCUUUUUCUUUAUAUUUUUCAAAUUUAAGCUUUACUCAAAUCUUUUAGAAUUUUUUAUUUUUGGUAAUUUUUUAAAAUUGUAAUUCUGGCUUGAUUAGCAAGUUGUUGUUUUUUUUUUGGUUAAUUCCUAAAAGAGUUAAGAUUUUGGGUCUAUUCAGAUACAUGUAAUCCCUAGGGCAAUUCAAUUGAUUGAGUUUUGAUAAAUAAAAUUGAGUUAGGAGAAUAUCUUUAUUUUUCUCUAUUUUGUUUUGGUAAUAGUAGAAUUCAACAGAUUAAUAUAAAAGAAGGGUGAGUUUUUUUGUUUCGCUACCAAAUUUGUUGUUGAUUCAUGCUGCAUCAAGGGGCCUUGGGGGAGUCAGCCCGAUGUAUCGCAAGAGACGGAGUUGGAGCACCUUUGUAUUAUAAAUCAUAUGCGAUCUCACCUGCAGAAACAUUUCUGGUUUUCUUGAACGAGCGAGCGAGCGAUGAAAGCCCGAGUAGAAUGAAUAGCUUCUGGCCGAGUUUUUCUUAAUAAAAGGUAGGCAAAGGUAAAACGGGAUCAGCAGCAGCUUUAACCCCAAAAGGGGACGCUACGAACGAGGAAACUCAACACGAGAAAAGCAGGAAUCAACAUCUCCACCCUAUAAAUCACAGAAGGGCUUUUCUUUAUAAUAGCAUCUUCCUUGAUCCUUUAUGAAUAACUUAAAGGAAAUGAGGAUUUGAGGGCACUUUUUGUCCAUGUUAAUGGGUUUUUGUGCUCACCUAUUACACCCACACGUGCAUGUAUGUCUUUGUCUAUGUGCACUCCCGCCCCCCCGGCCACCACCACCACUCACUGUUGUCAUUUUUUCUAUUUAGUUUGGUGGGUGGGGUUGGAUUUGAUGAAUUCCUCUUUUAAUAAUGAAUUUAAAAUGUAGCGUCAAUUCAAUCUUUUGUACUUGUAAUUAUGCGUUUUUGACCUAUUUCAACGUGUCUUUUUAGGUUCCUUUGUUGUUUGCAGAAUGGUAAGCUUGCGCCCGUUACAUCUUAAAAUUGCAUCAAAGCAUACUGUUAAAACGUGUUGAGAUGUCCCGAUGUUAUUUCCACUGAUUCACAGUAAUUUUUCCUCUCUGAAGUUAUAUAUGGAAAAUAAUUGUAAAAUCCCCCCUGGCUAUUCAAUUUUUUCCUUUCUUGUUGCUCAGGAACUUUAUGUGUCGUACUUCCUAUCUUCUGAUCCUAAAGGUAGUUCUAUAUUCUCUUGAUCUAUUUUGUUGUUUUCUUAUUAUACUGUAUUUUUUUCAUUGUUGACUUUUCACGCUGUGAUUUUGCAGGGGAUCAAGCAAAUACAGAUUUGAGUCCCAUCUGAGUUAUUUAGUUCUUUUGUUUCUUAUCUAGUAGUUUUUUUCAUCAAGUGUUUGGUAUUUUCUAGCAGGAAGUGCGAGACUUGUUAUAGAAAGAUGCUGAGGAGAAGAAAUCUUCUUGUAAUACAAGGCCAUACACGAGGUUGUUCGUUAAUUGGCUUCUUUAUCUAGAUUCCAUGGUUGCAAACUUUGAGGAAUGAUGUUUCGGUAUUUGCUUUGUUCUUUUACUCUCUCCUUGUGCAGAGUGUGAAGUAUGUAUUACUUUCCUUUUUUGUUCUAGAUAAUGGAUUUUUUUUUUUGGGAAUUGCCAUAAGAUAGUUUUCGAAGGAUCUAUUAUGUAAUAUUUUACUUGCAUAACUCGUCUUGUUGUCAUUGAGAUUCACUAGGUUAACCUAAUAUUAGCUUAGUGUACUAUGUAUGCCGUUGGUCAUGUUUAUAGGACAGUAUUUGGUCAAACCAAUUCUUUACCUUUACUGCGUUAAAUUAGUAUUGAAUAUCUUGAAUAUCUGAAUAAGUUCUAUUGACAGACAUGCUAAAUUAUUGUGUCAAUUAUCAAUCUUGUGAUACAUACAUUAUGUAAAAUGCUACCAUAAAUUCAAGACCAUUUGUGAACGGAUCUCAUGCUUCGCAUUUCAGACCUUGUUGACAUAGAUAUCCUUUGGACGCUUACUUGAGUGGGAAAGGUGAGCAAUUCAAGUUUUACUGUUAAGUUACUGACUGCUGCUAGUAAAUAUAUUAGAAAUACUUGGUUAUAUGACAAACACACAUCAAUGUAAAAUAGAAAUAUAUAUUGAUUCAUGAGAAAUUUGUUAGUGAACAAGUUUUGUAUAAGUUCCAUAUACAACUUCUCUUCAUGCAUAUCUGCAUUGGUUGAAAUGUUUUUCGCUUUGCAUGGAUGGAGCUUGUAAGUCGCUGGAAUUUCACUACAAAUUUACUCACUGGAAAUGCCGGCCUUAUAUGCAGCGUUUGCUGGUAGACUUAUUUCAAUUCCUGGAACCAUUCGAAUGCAGACCUUGAAGAGCUGGUUUGCUUUUUUCCCCCUAAUUUAUAUUCUUUUUCUCUCUGUAAUUAUUACCUGAAAAUGAUUGCAUCUUGUAUCCUUAAAUUCGUCCAGGUUCAUUUUCUGAAUAUACACUAAGGGUGUUUCUGGUUCUACUUCAUGAUUUCUCAAAAGCUCCUGUGAGAUGGAUUAUCAUUUCAGCUUCUGGGAUGUCAUUCCUCCAAAGAUGCAUACAUGUGUAAUGUAAUCCUGGGUGCAUUUCUUCAUAAUAUGAGGCUACAAGCCCCAUCUACUAAACAUUUAAAGGCGUUUCAUAGUGCAAAGCCACCUAUACGACGUUAAUAAUUUCAGGUAAUUACAAAAUUAAAUAGAUAUGUAUAUAUUUUUAUGCAGAUUGAUUUGUUGGCAGAGAUAGGCAAUCUAUUCACAUUGUCUGUGUUGGGUGCAACUCUUAAAGCAAGGUAUAUUAAAGCUAAUGUAGAUGAGUAUCUGAAGGUAUUUGGAUUUAGCAACUAACAUUUCAUACACAUCCCCUACACCUUGGUUGUCUAUUAAACAAAAUGCAGUUGGGCCAUUGUCUUUUGGGUCCUGUCAUUUCUUGGGAAGCUAUGGGUUUAGAUGAAGGGUGCAUACAAGCCCCGUAGCCGGCCUAGCACAACCCAUUCUUCUAGGACUUGGGAUUUAUAUAGCAGUUCAUAGGGCCAGGAUGAGCUGAAAUUUUAAUCCCCUUUAAUAAAUUAGAAUUGUCUUGGAUUUAGCUGUUAAAGCCCAUCUUGGCCAAUAUGUUUAUUAAAUAUAAUUUACAUUUACUUAUUUAUGCUGUUAAUUAGAAAAUGUAAAAAAUGACGAAUGUAUAUAUGUGUGUGUAUAUACACACACACAUACAUAUUCAAGUUCUUUCUUCUGGGGCUUUCUGUACAAGCAAAACGAGAGAAACCAAAAGCGGUGCUUGAGAGAGAAGUACAUAUGUGGAAGAGAGUGUGAACUGGGAAGCGUGAGAUCUCCAUCUCAAAGGUAUAUCUAUGCCUUUUAUUCUUCUUCUUCUAGAGAAUCUAUUUUUUUCUUAUUUAUUUCCUGUGUAGAGUGGUCCUUUCUCGUUUGUCUAUCUUUGGUCUCCCUUUCUCCUUCUGUUUCCCUCCUCUUUCUUCCACUCUCGUUUUCACGUUUUAUUGAUUGUGGCUCAAAUGAUUAGUUUGAUCUCAUGGGAUUUGACCUAUUAUUAAAUAUGUUCUCGGGUUCUGUUAGUGAAAAGAGUUUGCAAUAGUUUUUUUUCAUUUUCUAUUCAUAAUUUUGGAGGCUGAAAUCAUAUCGGGCAUAUUAUAUUACUAUGAAAAAUUCUGAUUAUUAACUAGGAGGUGUUGAGUAAUAAACAUAUUUUUGAGUUAUGGUCUUACAUUUAGGAUUGGAUGUUAGUAGUAGAUGAAUGAAUUUAACAGUGUUAGUGUGAAGUUAUGUUAGUGGGUAUUUGAUUAGCAAUUAGAGGUGUUAGGGGUCGGUGCUGUCACCUAAUAUGGUGCUGUUAGUAAAACAACAUAGAUUUUGAUUAUUUUUUUAAAAAACUAGCCUCCUUUUGAGACUAAGUCAUUUUGGACAAGACCACUUCUGUUGGUUUCACAAGGGGACAAUCGUGUUUGCCAGUAAGAUUCUGACCGAGCUGCCUCCAAGAUCAUCACUGUUGCUUCUUUUCCAGUGGACAUUAAAACUGAAAGGUCGAGUUCACAUCGCUAUUGGUGGUGCAGCCAUUGGCUUUCUGCUCUUCCGAUUUUGGUGAUUCAAGGGUGAGUUCGAUGGUUUCGUGAUGCCUUAGUCCGUGGCACAUGGCCAUUAGGAGAAAGGAAGAGAAUAAAAUCCAUCUAAUUUUCAUUCCAAUUUGAAUCAUAAUGUCUGAUUAAUAACCGUUUUCUUCAGUGUUUUUUUAUUUUUAGUCUUUGAUCUCUUUGGGUUGGGAUUUCGGAUUCCAAUUCUUGCUAUUAUGGAUUAUGGAAUGGUCCCAUAAAGCUCUGGCAACAGUGCCUUUCAAAUGUAUUCUUUUGAAGUACCAAUGCAAGGAUUGAAAGCACGAUAGUAAUGUGUACAAAUUUUUCCCAGAUUGGACUAUUUAUAGAAAUGAGUCUACGACGAAGUGGGAUUCCUAAGAGGGGGAAGCUCAAGUGACGGUCGGAAUGGGCAUGGCUGAGCGACGGUGGCACGGCUGACGAAGGAGUGCUGGUGGAAGUUGAUGCAAUCAAAGACAACCAAAUGCAACCUUUCAGCGAAAGAAACUCCCAAACUUGGGAUUCAAGAGUCAAAGCCCAACAAUUUAUUCUCAAAAUAUCAACAACCAACUAUUAGAGGUUCGAACAUCUUAUUUAUAGACCUAAAAACAUCUCCAUUGUACACAUUAAAGAAUAUGUUAGUUUAUUAAGAUGUUAGAUAGUUAGCUUAUGUUGCAUAAUUUUUUCACUCCAUUGGACAUGGUAAGUGAGAUACUAAACUUAUCAGCAAUUAGAAAGUUUGUUAAUUUUAGCCAGCCUUUUAGCCAACUAGUGGUCCCAUUCUCAUUAAAAAGUACAAAAGUUAGUGGGAUGGGUAAUGAAUGUGGCUUGGUGGAAAAUGAUUGGGUGUGACCCAUUUACUAGUUGGUUAAUUAUUUAAUCUUUAACUAGUGCAAUGGAAUAUCUAUGGGUUCACUACCUAAGUUCUUAGCAACCUAAUUGAUUCCCAUUUUUGUGCAUAUGGACCUUUUAACACACAAAUUUAACAUGUGCAAUGGAGAUGGUCUAAAGACCCAACUAAUUGCCAUGGACUAAAACAAAACUUCCACCUUCAUUUUUACUACAUCAGGAGUCAUGGAGAGCCUUUGCUGAACCCCUUUACUCAUCUUGCUUUCUUUUUGACAGCACCAUUAGGUGACCACACCCACCCCAAACCCUAGGUGGACGUUAAUGACUAUAGUGUUAGUGGAGAACAUGGGUGUGUAGUGGAUAAAGUGAGCAUUAACGUGAGAUUGUGAAUUACACGUCGUCCUAUGUACAAUGUAAUGUACGUAUUUGGAGUAGGAGUAAAGCAUAAAUUAGUGGAAUGAAAGAAUUUUAUUUCUCCUCCAACUAUUCUCUUGUUUAUGUGUGUUAGUCUCUUGCCUCCACAAAGUCAUAUCAUAGCCCACCACAGAUUUCCAAUACAAAGUUGUUGGAGUUCCAAGUUGUUUCUGAUAGAAAAGAACCUAUUUGCAUCGAUUACCCAUUAAUUGUCGCAAAUUAUACGAUUCCUAUCGCAAAUCAUGCAAUUCUAUUAAUUAUGUUUCACAAUAUGAUUUUGAUUUUGUGUUUUUAUUACGGCAUCAAUAAUCUCCCUAUAAAUUGGUGGAUAAUUGGGAAAUACAGGUUGCAGCACAGUCCGUUUGAUGAUGUAAUUUGAGUUUGCACCAUCUUGUCAUAAAAAAAUUAGUAUAUCCAUGGUUUGGUGAGUAAGAAAAGGUGAGUAAGAUGAGUUACCCAUUCUAAUGCACAGUUGGUUUGAGAAUUCUACCAUUUUUCUUUUUUCUUUUUUUUUUUGAGAAUUCUGUCCGUCUUGUGGGGAUUCUUGAUUUUUAUCAAAUUGGUAUAGAAAUACUUUUGCACAGACACUCCUAAUUUUUUCUCCCUUUGGCACCAUGGUUUGUAAUGUGUGUGUGUGUAUAGUUACCUAUGUUCAUCCGUUUGUACAUAUGCUUUGUUGUGUACCAUCUGAAUUCCAUUGGUUAUAGUUCAUUGUUAUUGUUUUAUAUUCUCAUUAUCAACGUAUACAUUUUAAUACAGUCACCGGGAAUAAAUAGAGUAACAUUCCUCUUCCUUGAUCUGCUAACUGACCUGCCUUCUUGUCUUUUAGUACAUUUUGCUCCAAUAUUUCAUGAUUUUUUGAAUUUUUGGGCGGAAGCUAGCAGCAUAGUUCAUAUCUUUUGAUAUAGUUAAACUGUAGAAAAAUAUUUAGCAUCUACUUGUUUCAGGUUCAUUUAGGGUGAGUUUAUAAAAUCAAGUUCAGAGGGUUCCUUGCUAUAGAACGUUGGAAAUUGAAGUGACACUUGGUAGAAAUUGAGUUGUGAGUGAUUGGUACCAAAUCUUUGAUCAUAGAGGUAAUUCUUUUAUUCUAGCAGUAUUCUUUGAGUUUAUUCUUUCCCGUGAAGAUUUAUUUAUUGCUCUUUAUAUGCCCUUAGUGCAUUUGUUGUCUAAGGUAUAUGAGAAGGGUUUAAUGAUUGCAGUCAUUCCAUUAACCUCCAAGGUACGGUUAUUGUGGAAAUUCAGGUGAAUGCAAUAGACAUUGGUGGUGUUUCAUUCUUAUUCUGUUACUUGUUGCAGAUUUUGGAUGCACGCCAAAGCAAUCUAGCUUAUCAACCUCCUAAUACUUGGACCAUGGGUAUUCUUGAGUUACUUGUACAUAGUGCCGGUUUUGAGUUUUUCGAGAUCUCAAUCAUAAUCUCAAUUUGAGACCGUUCAUAUAUUUUUUUCGAUAAAAAAUGAGACUAUUAUUGCAACAAAGAUCAACAUCUCUUGUGAGUUUCAAACAAAGUUGAGAAUUUGGAAUACACAUAUAAGACUAUUACUUCGAUUUACCAAAAUAUAUAUAAUCUAAUACACAAAAAAAUCAUAAUCCCAUAUAUAAAGUGCUAUCACCAUGCGUUAACUAUUUUCUAAUAUAUAACUAACUACAUAUACAAAAAUAUAAAUUCCUAUCUAUUUGAUAUCCUUAGUUCCUUUACAGAAAAGAUACUAGUUCCAUUGACUAGGCACAAAAAAUAUCACUUGAAUAUUGUUAUUCUUGUAUUUUUAGAGGCAAAUGUAUCACAGUUUACUACGUAUACUGACCGUUGUAUAACU
rnacentral:lncRNA from 1 species